AUGUAACUGCAUUUGAAUGUAAUUCUACAUUUAACCUGUAUGUAUUGUACAUAACCUCUAAACUAAACUAAAAACUAUUCAUCUGUGAUUAAAUUGUGUUAACUUUAAGUAAAUAAUUAAAUAAAAUAAAAAAAUAAAGAUAAUAUUCUUAAUAUAUAAUAAAAAAAAAUGUAGUUUUAAAUUAUUCAAUAUAUUUAUUACGUAAAUUAUAAUAUAAUCAUUUUUAUCUGGCAAUCAUAUUACGUGAAUACAUAAUAGAUAAUCGUCUUUAUACAAGCAAUAACAUUAUACAAAUAUGAUAUCAAUUCUAUGAAAAAACAAUGUUUUCCAGAGGAAUUUCUGUGCUACUAAUAAUUUAGUUUUUUGCAUAACAAUUAUAUAUUCAAUAAAUAAGAUGAACAUGUAGAAUAAUUUCUUUUUUUACCUUAAACAUUGACUAUCCUUUGUGAUAAAUACAUUUUUUGAAUUUAAUUGACAAUCAGUUAAUACUAAGAAUACAAUUACAGAAUGUCACACAAGUUGAAAAUACAUUCAGAUAAUACAGGACAAUAUUGUACUGUUCUAUAAUUCUAUAUAAUCAUAAUAGUCUUUUUUAAUACAAUAAUUAACUAUAAUUAUUCAUUUUUAUCGAACAAUACAGAAAGCGUAGUAAUAUAUUAAGCAAAUGUUUAUCCGUUAUUCUUUUAUUCUUAUUGAUAUCAUAUAAAAUCGUAAUUUCAUAAAUGAAAUAUUCCAUUGGGAAGUAAUAAUAAAUAUCGAAAAGGACUACAAGUGCACUUGCCCAUUAUAUCUCAUAAUUGGUAUUUAUAAUUCUCUCGUUAAAAAACGAGACAUAUUAUUAAUACGAUAUUAAAAACAAUAUUAUGUUCUUUACAAUUGGCAGUGAUAGCUCUUAUACGAAAUAUUCUACUUAUAGCAAACCGUAUAAAUGUAUCUACAAUUUUACGAAUCAAUAACUCU